rnacentral:rRNA from 1 species
GAUGAACGCUGGCGGCGUGCCUAAUACAUGCAAGUCGAGCGAACAGACGAGGAGCUUGCUCCUCUGACGUUAGCGGCGGACGGGUGAGUAACACGUGGAUAACCUACCUAUAAGACUGGGAUAACUUCGGGAAACCGGAGCUAAUACCGGAUAAUAUAUUGAACCGCAUGGUUCAAUAGUGAAAGACGGUUUUGCUGUCACUUAUAGAUGGAUCCGCGCCGCAUUAGCUAGUUGGUAAGGUAACGGCUUACCAAGGCAACGAUGCGUAGCCGACCUGAGAGGGUGAUCGGCCACACUGGAACUGAGACACGGUCCAGACUCCUACGGGGGGCAGCAGUAGGGAAUCUUCCGCAAUGGGCGAAAGCCUGACGGAGCAACGCCGCGUGAGUGAUGAAGGUCUUCGGAUCGUAAAGCUCUGUUAUUGGGGAAGAACAAAUGUGUAAGUAACUAUGCACGUCUUGACGGUACCUAAUCAGAAAGCCACGGCUAACUACGUG